GCCGUCAUACUACGUCAAAAAUACACCGGUUUCGAUUCGAUUUACGAAGUUAAGCAGCUUCGGGCGCCGUCAGUAGUUGGAUGGGUGACCUUCUGGGAAUACAG